rnacentral:ribozyme from 12 species
UAAAGAAAAAAGAAAAAAAGAACAAAAAACAAAGAUACGUAAAACCCGUCUUCUUUCCUUUUUUUUUACUUUUUCGUAUUUUUCUGCUUUUUUUUUCCUUUUUCGUAUUUUUUGCUUUUUU